GUGAUGGCCUACCAAGGCGACGACGGGUAGCCGGCCUGAGAGGUGAUCGGCCACAUUGGGACUGAGAUACGGCCCAGACUCCUACGGGAGGCAGCAGUGGGGAAUAUUGCACAAUGGGCGGAAGCCUGAUGCAGCGACGCCGCGUGAGGGAUGACGGCCUUCGGGUUGUAAACCUCUUUCAGCAGGGACGAAGCGCAAGUGACGGUACCUGCAGAAGAAGCGCCGGCUAACUACGUGCCAGCAGCCGCGGUAAUACGUAGGGCGCGAGCGUUGUCCGGAAUUAUUGGGCGUAAAGAGCUCGUAGGCGGCUUGUCGCGUCGGUUGUGAAAGCCCGGGGCUUAACCCCGGGUCUGCAGUCGAUACGGGCAGGCUAGAGUUCGGUAGGGGAGAUCGGAAUUCCCGGUGUAGCGGUGGAAUGCGUAGAUAUCGGGAGGAACACCUGUGGCGAAGGCGGCUCGCUGGACCUUUUCUGACGCUGAAGCGCGAAAGCGUGGGUAGCAAACAGGAUUAGAUACCCUGGUAGUCCACGCCGUAAACGAUGGGUACUAGGUG
rnacentral:rRNA from 1 species